AUUGAACGCUGGCGGCAUGCUUUACACAUGCAAGUCGAACGGUAACAGGGUGCUUGCACCGCUGACGAGUGGCGAACGGGUGAGUAAUGCGUCGGAACGUGCCGAGUAGUGGGGGAUAACGCAGCGAAAGUUGUGCUAAUACCGCAUACGUACUGAGGUAGAAAGUGGGGGACCUUCGGGCCUCACGCUAUUCGAGCGGCCGACGUCUGAUUAGCUGGUAGGUGAGGUAAAGGCUCACCUAGGCGACGAUCAGUAGCGGGUCUGAGAGGAUGAUCCGCCACACUGGGACUGAGACACGGCCCAGACUCCUACGGGAGGCAGCAGUGGGGAAUUUUGGACAAUGGGCGAAAGCCUGAUCCAGCCAUGCCGCGUGUCUGAAGAAGGCCUUCGGGUUGUAAAGGACUUUUGUCAGGGAGGAAGGGUUGUACGUUAAUACCGUGCAAUUUUGACGCUACCGACAGAAUAAGCACCGGCUAACUCUGUGCCAGCCGCCGCGGUAA
rnacentral:rRNA from 1 species